rnacentral:rRNA from 1 species
UACGGGGGGGGCAAGCGUUGUUCGGAAUUACUGGGCGUAAAGGGCUCGUAGGUGGCCAAUUAAGUCAGACGUGAAAUCCCUCAGCUUAACUGGGGAACUGCGUCUGAUACUGGCGAGCUUGAGUGCAGGAGAGGAACGCGGAAUUCCAGGUGUAGCGGUGAAAUGCGUAGAUAUCUGGAGGAACACCGGUGGCGAAGGCGGCGUUCUGGACUGCAACUGACACUGAGAAACGAAAGCCAGGGUAGCAAACGGG